rnacentral:rRNA from 1 species
CAAGUCGAACGGUAACAGGAAGCAGCUUGCUGCUUCGCUGACGAGUGGCGGACGGGUGAGUAAUGUCUGGGAAACUGCCUGAUGGAGGGGGAUAACUACUGGAAACGGUAGCUAAUACCGCAUAACGUCGCAAGACCAAAGAGGGGGACCUUCGGGCCUCUUGCCAUCGGAUGUGCCCAGAUGGGAUUAGCUAGUAGGUGGGGUAACGGCUCACCUAGGCGACGAUCCCUAGCUGGUCUGAGAGGAUGACCAGCCACACUGGAACUGAGACACGGUCCAGACUCCUACGGGAGGCAGCAGUGGGGAAUAUUGCACAAUGGGCGCAAGCCUGAUGCAGCCAUGCCGCGUGUAUGAAGAAGGCCUUCGGGUUGUAAAGUACUUUCAGCGGGGAGGAAGGCGAUAAGGUUAAUAACCU